rnacentral:rRNA from 1 species
AGGUAGUGACGAAAAAUAACGAUACGGGACUCAUCCGAGGCCCCGUAAUCGGAAUGAGUACACUCUAAACCCUUUAACGAGGAUCAAUUGGAGGGCAAGUCUGGUGCCAGCAGCCGCGGUAAUUCCAGCUCCAAUAGCGUAUAUUAAAGUUGUUGCGGUUAAAAAGCUCGUAGUCGAAUCUGUGUCUCGCGCCGCCGGUUCAUCGCUCGCGGUGUUUAACUGGCGUGCCGCGGGACGUCCUGCCGGUGGGCUUAGCCUCUCGCGGGGCGGCCCAACUACAAUCCCACCGCGGUGCUCUUCACUGAGUGUCGAGGUGGGCCGGCACGUUUACUUUGAACAAAUUAGAGUGCUUAAAGCAGGCUCAAACUUCGCCUGAAUAUUCGUGCAUGGAAUAAUGGAAUAGGACCUCGGUUCUAUUUUGUUGGUUUUCGGAACCCCGAGGUAAUGAUUAAUAGGAACGGAUGGGGGCAUUCGUAUUGCGACGUUAGAGGUGAAAUUCUUGGAUCGUCGCAAGACGGACAGAAGCGAAAGCAUUUGCCAAAAACGUUUUCAUUGAUCAAGAACGAAAGUUAGAGGUUCGAAGGCGAUCAGAUACCGCCCUAGUUCUAACCAUAAACGAUGCCAGCUAGCGAUCCGCCGACGUUCCUCCGAUGACUCGGCGGGCAGCUUCCGGGAAACCAAAGCUUUUGGGUUCCGGGGGAAGUAUGGUUGCAAAGCUGAAACUUAAAGGAAUUGACGGAAGGGCACCACCAGGAGUGGAGCCUGCGGCUUAAUUUGACUCAACACGGGAAACCUCACCAGGCCCGGACACCGGAAGGAUUGACAGAUUGAGAGCUCUUUCUUGAUUCGGUGGGUGGUGGUGCAUGGCCGUUCUUAGUUGGUGGAGCGAUUUGUCUGGUUAAUUCCGAUAACGAACGAGACUCUAGCCUGCUAACUAGGCGUACUUUCGACAUCUCAAAGGCCCCACGGCCCGGCGCACUCGCGUCGCGGUCGCGCGCGGUUUUUACUGUCGGCGUACAAUCAAUUCUUCUUAGAGGGACAGGCGGCUUCUAGCCGCACGAGAUUGAGCAAUAACAGGUCUGUGAUGCCCUUAGAUGUUCUGGGCCGCACGCGCGCUACACUGAAGGAAUCAGCGUGUCCUCCCUGGCCGAGAGGCCCGGGUAACCCGCUGAACCUCCUUCGUGCUAGGGAUUGGGGCUUGCAAUUGUUCCCCAUGAACGAGGAAUUCCCAGUAAGCGCGAGUCAUAAGCUCGCGUUGAUUACGUCCCUGCCCUUUGUACACACCGCCCGUCGCUACUACCGAUUGAAUGAUUUAGUGAGGUCUUCGGACCGGUACGCGGCGGCGCUCCCGCGUCGCCCGAUGUUGCUGGGA